CCUACGGGGGGCAGCAGUGAGGAAUAUUGGUCAAUGGACGAGAGUCUGAACCAGCCAAGUAGCGUGAAGGAUGACUGCCCGAUGGGUUGUAAACUUCUGUUAUAAAGGAAUAAAACGAGGCACGUGUGCCUUUUUGCAUGGACGUUAUGAAUAAGGAUCGGCUAACUCCGUGCCAGCAGCCUCGGUAAUACGGAGGAUCCGAGCGUUAUCCGGAUUGAUUGGGGUUAAAGGGAGCGUAGAUGGGUUGGUAAGUCAGUUGUGAAAGUUUGCGGCUCAACCGUAAAAUUGCCAUUGUUACGGGCAGUCUUUAGUACAGUUGAGGUAAGCUGCAUUCGUGUUGUCGCCG
rnacentral:rRNA from 1 species